UGGAACCUAAGAUGAUCUGUAACCUG
rnacentral:piRNA from 1 species